rnacentral:lncRNA from 1 species
CGAAAAAUCAAAUUACUCAUUAAUUCCUGUUUCGUGACACACGUGAGGUAAAAAAAGAGGCAUCUGCCUUACAACAAUAAUGUGCAACAUUUAAUAGGUCGCUCAAACAAAUGACAAAGUCGAUCGCACAUAUUCAGGAAAAUUCAUGGCCUAACUCAUAUAAAAAAGAAAAUAAUUUGCAAUUCCUUCCUUUUUCGCUCAUUUGUCGUGAAAGAGGAUACAUCCACCUCUGAAGCAACCUUCAUCAUUUAAUAGGCCGUCACGAGCAUAGCCAUGAGUUUUCAAGAAAAAAUCAUUCUGACGCAUCUAUCUCCACAAUUGCAUUGGCUAACACACACAAAAAAAAAAAACUGAAAUAAUCUUCAAUUCCUGCUUUUUUGCUCGUUUGUCCUAAAAUAUGCUACGUUCACCUCUCUGAAUUAGCCUUUAUCAUUUAAUAGAUCAUCACAAAUACAUCCAUGAUUUUUUGAUAAAAAAUCAUUCUAACGCACCUAUCCUCUUAAAUUCAUAAGCUAACAUACACGAAAAAAUUUCAUAACAAGCAAUGGAGUUGGAUUGUUUGGUGUGAAAUGAAAGGUGAAAGAGCAAUAAUGGAGAAGUGGGGUCGAAAUGGCAGCUGGCCAACUACUAUUUGAGGCAAUUUUUUCCUAAACUUUCUCUGUAAAAAUUCUUGAUCCGUCACUAGUGAAAGUCGGAGAAAAUUGAUUUCAUUUUUUCUUCUCUUUUAUUAUUUAUUUCUAUAUUUUUUUUGAAUGAUUUGUUGUGAUUUCUCUACAUCUAUACGGAGUCAAACUCUCGUUUUAGUCUUCAGUUAACAUUCCAAAACACUAUUUUUUCUUCUUUAUUUUCAAUUCAUUUUUCUAUUUUGAGAAGAAUUAUCAGUAAAUUGCAUUUAUAAUAUGACAAUAAAAAAGGACAGUCUCCGUGCACUAAACCUUGUUCUAUGUAGAGUUUGGGAAAAAAUCUUGUGCGCAACCUUACCUUGCAUUUAUACCAAGGAACUAUUUCCAAAGCUUAAACAUGUUACAGCAAUUUAUCGGUUGAUAAUAUGACAAUGAGAGGUGAAAAAGCAGGAAUAGUAGUAGCGGUGUCAAAAUGACAGCUUUAUUAAAGUGGG